GGUGGCUCAGUGGUAGAGUAUUUGCCUUGCAUGCAUAAGGCCCUGGGAUCUAUUCCUCAGCACCA
rfam:Dipodomys ordii contig_17428, whole genome shotgun sequence.